UGGGAAAGUACAUCCCCCACCCUUCCUGACCAGCCAGCCCUGUGCUCUGACGGGGGGAAGGAGGGGACUGCCCAGUGGAACCUCUGCUUUGCAUGUCCCACUAAAUCCCAGCCCUGUCUUCUGCGUUUGUGUUUAAUUCAGCAGGAAGUGAACAGGGAUGAUGUUCUCCAUGCACAGAAUGGUUCAGAACAAAGCUGGUGACCCUGAGGAGUCUCAGUUGCUCUGACCUGCAGGCAUGGGUGUGACUGUAGCUCCUCACAUGGACAGAGAGCAAGGACUGACUGGACUGGUCCCUCACCUCCAUUCUGUGUGCAGUGUCAUAUCCAGCUGUAUAGAGCCUUGAAAAUAACACAAAAAGGCAUCCUCCAAGGAAAGCUAAUGAAGCACUCUUACCAGCAGCUGCUGUCCUUUGCCUUUCCCCAAGGGAGACUCAGCCUCUCAGAGCCACCCUGGAGUGCGUCAUGCCCAGCUUGGGCAGCGUGCCCACAGCUUAUUGCCUCUGCUCAGCUCUGCAGUUGUCACUCAGCCACUCUCCUGUGUCACUCAGCCACUCUCCUGUGUCACUCAGCCACUCUUUCCUCUCCCAAAAUGUCAAAGGCGUCCCCCUCGGGCGACAGUGCCAACGUCAUCGUGCCAAGCAGGGAGACAGCUCAUCCUGAGCAAAGGCACAAAGCCCUGCAUCCAUGGGAGAGGGGAGUCAGUGGGAAUGGCACUUUGAAAACUUGGAAAUUGGCUGGAAACUCUUCUGCUGUAUUUUGUGGGGGAAUUUUUCAAAGUUCUUUGUGCUUAUUUAGGCUUUGAAGUGUCUCAGGGCAGCAGGAGGUAGAUAAAUUACAGUAGUAGGGUUAAAUAAAUUGCUGAACAAAUUCUAAGCAAUAAAUAUAUGUUAACCUAUCCCAAAAGAUUAUCCUUCAUUAUCAGAAGAAACUACAAUUCCUACUUUAAUAUGAUGGCUCAUGAAGAAAAAGUUGCUUUGAAAAACCACCACUUUGAAAAAAAAAAUAGACUCAAUGAAACCAAUCACAAACAUCCCCAAAAAUUAUCUAUUUCUGUGUAAAAUAGUAUGGAUGAAAUGCAGUCUCUAAUGCAACAGUUCUUUCCCCUGUUGCUAAGUGCUUUAUGGCAAGCAAGCAUGGGUUGUUAUUAGUAAAUAUUGUGACAGUUGGCAAAACCAGGAAUUCAAGGUGUGAUUUACCAGUAGCAUUUGCAUGAGACUUCUUCAGAGGAUGUGAUUUCUGGUGUAAACUUCAGCUUGAAUUUAAUUUACAGGAAGAGAGGUGUGCAGUAAAAUGAUUUUGUAUUGGCACUGCAAUUGCAGGUGAGCUCGUUAUUGAAUGAGUACCCAUCUCUUCCUUGAAUUUUACUACCAUUUUUAACUUAACAUGUUGCUCCAAUGAGUUUUACAUGUUGGCUGGAAAAACAUUUACCCUGUUAUUAAUUUUUCUGGUAGGGUCUAUUGUACAGGGGUGUGGGGUCUUCUGCUUUGCUGUCACUGCUGAUACCUGUUCUCAUUAACUAAAAAAACUAAAAAUAAACUAAAUAAACUAAAAAGUUUGUUUUCACUUAAAGAUUUUAGCUGACUAUUCAGCUACAUAAGAGGAUUACUAGAUUUAUUUUGCAUACUGAAAUAGCUACCUUGUGAGAUCAUAUAUGCAAUAAGGUGGUUUUUUUCUGCCACCAAAUUACUUUGCCCUAUUUAUACUGUGCCUUUUAAUGUGUGCUGGAAAUAGCCUGUUUGGAGAAUAAGGCAACCAAAGGAAAAAACUAACCAUAACCUGCUGUUACCUUUCUUUUUGAAGAUGCUUCCUCUGUUCCCAGUGUGUGAGCUGUAAUGCACAGGAGUAUUUAACCUUCAGAAUUCAUUUCAAUGUUUUGUGACACCUCUGAGAGGUUCUGAGCUAGGCUCUCUUGUUCUGAAGGUGUGUAGGUGAGUAUGUGCUUGCCUGGACACACACCCCUGUGUGAGGAUGGGUCCUUAGGCCUCCCUGAAGAUAUUUUAUUUUGCUACAGAAUUGGCAAGGUGUAAAAAUUCUCGAGCACAGGAUCACAGCUGCCAAAACACUGCUCCUCUGUAGUAGAAUUUCCACCAGUCUGAGGGGAAAAAAACCCUCCUGCUCCUUGGCCCUGCUGGGCUGGCCCACUGUGCUCGGGGUAUUUUCUCCAAGUGAGGCUUGGCAGGCUGGUCCCUGCUGCCCUGUCCUCUCAGCCCUGCAGAACCUCCAGCCUGAACCUUCACGCUGCUUGACGUGGAGGAAAGUAAAUCUGGCAUGACUGAGACUUGGAAAUCCAGCACGUCAAUAUCUGAUGGGAAUUGAACUCUGGAUAACGCAGACACAAACAGAGGAGCAUAAAGCAGGUCUUGAAAUAGGGUUUCUUUCACCAAAAAAAAAAAAAAAAAAAAAGUAAUGGAACUAGCUACGCAAUUACAGUUUAUUUUUAAAACUGAAAUUAUGACAGCAGAGUGUGUGAGGAAAGAGAGGAACACAUCUGCAGCAAGGCUGGAACUUUCUCUGUA